CCAAUUUUGUAAUUCUAAACUGUUAAUAUUAACUUUGAAAUACAAUCACGUUCUCCCUGAGCCCAUAACAACCUACAAGCAGUCCAACCAAUGCUGGGCUGAGCCAUCAUUUUGCCUGAGGGACUUUUGUAAAGCAGACAGCCCAGGCUGUUAAAGGUUCUUCCAUCCUGCUGGGCAGUGGUGGUGCAUGCCUUUAAUCCCAGCACUUGGGAGGCAGAGGCAGGUGAAUUUCUGAGUUUGAGGCCAGCCUGGCCUACAGAGUGAGUUCCAGGACAGCCAGGGCUACACAGAGAAACCCUGUCUCAGGAAAAAAAAAAAAAAAAAAAAAAAAAUCCUUCCAUCCUUUGAAAGGAAGAGGGCAAGGUUGCAGAUCCUCCCAGGAACCUGGAGUUAAUGAGCCCUGCCCCACUUACAGCUCGCAGGAGGAGGUCCCAGAGCCUUCUAACAAGUUCUUCAGAGAAUGCAUGCCUGAAAUUUGCUCCUUUUUGAGUUCCCCGCCUCACUCAUUCACCUUUUGUUUUCUGAAGUUUCCUGAAAACCAACAGCAUCUCCGUUCUCACCGCUUUUACAUGAUGACCAGAGUGGUUGGAAGAGAAGUCUGUCAAGUUGCCCCAUGGUUAAGAGCAUUUUCUCCUCUUGAAGAGGACUCGAAUUUGGAUCCUAGAUCUAAAGUCCUCAUCUGGCACUGAUGGGCAAUUCGAGUACGAGAUGCACAGGAGCACGCAUGGGGAGGGGGCAUCUGAUACACAAAUAUAUAUAAAGCAAAACACCAAUGCACAUGAAAUAAAAGUAAAGAACUUUCUUUAAAAGAAAAAAAAUGAGUUACAUUUUUAAUUACAGCUUUGACAGUUGGCACUCUCAGAAGAGUGAUAAUAAAUUCCAGCUAAUACAGGUGAUCUUCCUGCCUCAGUCUCCCUAACAGGCAGAGUGACAGACACAUGCCACCAUGGCUGAAUGAAAGUCAGUGUAAAAGCUAUGAAACUUUUAUUAUUAUUAUUAUUCAUUCUAUGUAUGUGAGUACACUUGUAGCUGUCUUCAGACACACCAGAAGAGGCCAACAGAUCUCAUUACAGAUGGUCAUGAGCCACCGUAGAGUUGCUGGGAAUUGAACUCAGGACCUCUGGAAGAGCAACCAGUGCUCUUAACCACUGAGCCAUCUCUCCUGCUUGGUCCAUACCCUUUUAAAGCACUAUGUUAGUUACUGUUUUCAUUGCUUAUACAAAAAUGCUGGACAAAGGCAGCCUAAGGAAGGAAGUGUUUGUUUUAUCUCAUAUUUUGAAGAUACUGUCCAUCACAACAAGGAAGAAACAGUGACGGACUUGAGGAAGAUGGCCACAUCGCAACUACAACUGGGAAGGACAACGUGAAGGGAGCGUUGAUCUUCAGCUCAAUUUCUCCUUUCCAUUCAGUCCAGCAUCCCAGCUCACGGGUUGCAGCCCAUAUCCAGGGUGAGCUUUCUCUCUUCGAUUAAACUUCUCUCGAAAAUCCUCGAGGACACAACUAGAAGUAUAUCCGUGGCGAUCCAAAGUCUGGCAAAAUUGACAAAGCAGAUUAGCCAUGACAAGCUCCAUGCACAUGUCAACUUGGAAUCUGAACGCUUCACCGAACAUCACAACAUUCUAACCCCACGUAGGCUCCUGGCUGUCUCACAACUUGCAGUAUAUCCGCCCUACCUUCAGGAGUUCACAGAACCUGCGAUUUCAUCAAGAACAUUCAAAAGCCUAAAGUCAAGACAGGGAAGGACACUACGUGCUCAUUAAAGGGAAACCCACCCAGAGGAGCUUUUCGUUCUAAACGUGUAUAUACUAAACACAAGGGCAUAAGAGAAACACUAUUACAGCUAAGCUCACAGAUCAAGUCCAGUCCACAGAUCAAGUCCAGUCCACUGAUAACUGCUGGUCUCCAGUGUCCCACUCUCAACAGCUGGUGGACGAGAAGGUGGGAAGCUAGAAACACUGCAGUUAAAGAACAUCAUGAAUCAGACAGACAUAAUGGAUGUCUACAGAACACUCUACCCAAAUAUUAAAGAAUAAACUCUCUUCUCAACAGCCCACGGAACUCUGUCCAAAAUUGAGCACACAUUAUGGAACGAAGCUAGUUUCAACAGAUGUAAGACAAAGUAAUAUCCUCCGUUCUGUCUGAUCACCGUGGAUUAAAGCUGGAUAUAACAGCAGUCGACACAGAGGACCGUACAUACACUCAUGAAAGCUGGCCAGUUCACUGCUGGAUGAAAAUUGGGUCAAGAAAGAAAGAGAAGAGAGACCACCAAUAUCACCCAGCUGCAAACGCUGAGAUCUACAACAGAGACCUACUAAAAGGUAUACUCGUGAGAUAUUGGUACAACUGUUACGGGAGUUACCAUCCCCUUCACUGCUUGACUUUAGGGCCGCAAUGUGAGAUGGAGCACUGCCAAAGUGACUGAGAACCCGAGACCACUUAAGUCAAGGACACUAGGGAGAACCUAUUAUUGUUAUUCUGCUAAAGGGACUCCUAAAGAUAGAUUGCUAUACCUAUAGAUAGAUACCUAUAGAUAGAUAGAUUGCUAUACCUAUAGAUCAGCACAUUGCUGGAAUCUCAUCUGAGAAGCUUUUUCUUGAAGGAGAUGCUAAUUAACACAGAGACCCACAACUGGACAAUGUGCAGAGAGUGGUAGACUUUGGAACAUUCAGUCCUAGAUGUAAUGUCGUUAUCAAACCCCUCCCCUUAAGGCUUUGGAAUCUAUGAGGUAGAGGAAGCAGAGAUUGUAAGAAGAUGAGUUGAUGAAUGACUCCAAGGAACCAGUAUCUUCCAGACACUACUGGACUGAUGCACAGAGGAGUUCAGAGAAACUCUGGCAGCACGCACAAGACCAGGUUCAGACCAGACAAAAAUCCCAGAGCUGAGAAAAAGAUUCGGACACAAAACUUAACCAAGACUCACACCUGCUGGGAAAGAAAAACUCAGUUUUCUGCACUGGGAGUGUCAAUGGGUGUGUUAACCUCACAUCAGGGAAGGCUCCCUGACCAGGAGUAGCUAGCCAACACAAGGCAGACUCCAUGUUUUUUUUUUCCCCCUGUGGUUUUUGGUUUGCUUUUAUUUGUGUGUUUGUUGAUUGGUUGGUUGGUCUUUCUUACUGGCUUUGUUUAUUUGUUUUGAUUUUCAUUUUUUUUUUUGUUUUUGUUUUGAGAGAGAAAUCAGGAGGUGGAAUGGGUAGAAGGGCCAGGGGAAGAUCUGAGAGGAGUUGAGAGAAAGGAAGAAAUGUUCAAAAUAUAUGAAAAAAAAAAUGGAGUAGUCUGAAGCCUCUUCUGGGAUGCACAACCAUCUUUAAAUUUGAACUCUAGAGUAAAGAUUCCCUCUCCAAAGGGGAAGAGCGAAGGCAAAGUAAGGCAAGACGGGACCUAAGCAAGACGGGAACCCAGGGGAGCAAGCAGUAAAUCCUGACGAUUCGGGUCCUGUGACUGAGACUCAUGACGCAAUCCUCUGGGCUCCAGAUCAUCUCAGCCCCUCCAGUUCUGCUUCUUGAAGCACCCACACAGCCUCUCUCUUGGUGCCACCCCACUUAGGUCCAGCAGACUUUUUUCACCUGACAGCCAUGUUCUUGACAUGCCUGUGCAUCCCGACAGCCAUGGGCAUGACACCCUGGGAUUCUGUCGCAGCUUGGGCUCCGUCUUCCUGGCCUUUUAAGCCUAUCAGGUCAUCCUUGCUGGAAUUUAACCAUGUGGCACACUAUCUUGUCCCAUUGGCCUUCUGAACUUUGGUGUAAGCAACUAGAACCCUCUUACUUUAUAUGUUGCUUGCCUGAAAAACAAACACUGCGUAGAUAACACUGCCCAGAUCUGCUACCAGGUUGAGAUGUAAACCUGCCCGGUCCCUUGGACCAC
rnacentral:lncRNA from 1 species